UAUUGGUUUUCCGAGCCGAGUCGUCGGCCGGAAUUAAAAGGGAAUCCGGUGAGAAUCCGGAACAGUGCUCGCUGCUGUAAGUCCCUCUCUUUCGGGAGAAACGGUUCAUCCGCACUCUUUGCCACUGGUUUUUACCGGGAAGGCGCGGUGAACGGGACGAGUCAGAAGACCUGCCGUAACA
rnacentral:ncRNA from 2 species